rnacentral:rRNA from 1 species
UACGGAGGAUCCAAGCGUUAUCCGGAUUUAUUGGGUUUAAAGGGUGCGUAGACGGCUUAUUAAGUCAGGGGUGAAAGACGGUGGCUCAGCCAUCGCAGUGCCUUUGAUACUGAUGAGCUUGAAUACACUUGAGGUAGGCGGAAUGUGACAAGUAGCGGUGAAAUGCAUAGGUAUGUCACAGAACACCAAUUGCGAAGGCAGCUUACUAAGGUGUUAUUGACGCUGAGGCACGAAAGCGUGGGGAUCAAACAGG